AAACGAGUUGCGCGAAGGGAAGCGCGUUGGUUGGAGGGCCGGCUUCCCUCUGCAUCCCCUUCGCCUGGCUUUCACGCCACUGGCGCCACCAGGGUGAGCGACCAGCGGCUACGGACGGCUUCAAACCACCGUUCUGCUGCGUUCGGCCCAAAAGCAGCUCUCGGCGGGACGGUUGCUUUUCUCGUAAGAAAUGGACAGAGUGAUAAAAAUAUCCUUUUUUGGGUGGGGGGGGGGAGAGGGCUUCAUUCUAAAUUAAUUUUUUUCCUUGUAAAUAGCGGCUUCGGGGAACGCAGCUCCUCGGCGGCGGCGCGGGGCGACCUGCCGGCUGCGGCCGUGCCACCGGGGCUGCGCCUGGUGGGGCUUUGCCGGCAACGCGUCUCUGGCCUGGGCAGUUACUUCUUGAUUUCUGCCGCGCUCCUAGCGGAAUCAGCUGGAGCAGCCGGAACGAGCCACGUGCUCGUGGAAGAGUCGCCGCCAGUCRUGCAACGUUGCCCGGUGCAAUCACUGCCCCGCAGCCUCUGUUGCCCCUGUGUCCGGCGAGGGGUUUGGAGAGCAGCCAGCGGGACGCCCGGCAUCGGCCCUGGGAAAAUCCGGUGUUGGCCCUGGGAAGCCCAGCAUCGGCCCCAGGAAAAUCGGGCAUCGGCCCUGGGAAGCCCGGCAUCAGCCCUGGGAAAAUCGGGCAUCGGCCCUGGGAAAAUCGGGCAUUGGCCCUGGGAAGCCUGGCAUUGGCCCCGGGAAGCCCAGCGUCAGCCUCGGGCUCUGUCGACUCUCCCCGGUAAGGUCUGGGCUACAUACUUUUUGCUCUUUUAUAUAAAUAAGAGUUGUGAUAUUUUCACACUGUCAUGUCAGUGUAAAAGCCUUUUUGAAGGCAGUAUAAAUCGUCAAAGGAAUCCCGGUAUAAAAAAGAGAAGCCACGUAGCUUUGUUUCCUUUCCUCAGUCUGCAGGUGCACAAAACGGCGCGGUGCCGGCCGCGGCGGGGGCGACGGCUUCCCGUCGGCCCUGCUGGGGGGGGGUCGCGAGGAAGGUGA
rnacentral:lncRNA from 1 species